rnacentral:rRNA from 1 species
UNCAUUCAAUAAGCUGAGGAAAAGAAACUAACAAGGAUUCCCUUAGUAACGGCGAGUGAAGCGGGAAGAGCUCAAAUUUGAAAUCUUCAAGGUUCUACCUUGACGAAUUGUAGUUUAUAGAAGUGUUUUCUGUUAGUAGAGUGGCAAAAGUUCUUUGGAAUAGGACAUCAUAGAGGGUGAGAAUCCCGUAUUUGGUCAUUCUUUCUAGCUUUGUGAUACACUUUCAACGAGUCGGAUUGUUUGGGAAUGCAGUCCAAAAUGGGUGGUAAAUUUCAUCUAAAGCUAAAUAUUGGCGAGAGACCGAUAGCGAACAAGUACCGUGAGGGAAAGAUGAAAAGAACUUUGAAAAGAGAGUUAAACAGUACGUGAAAUUGUCAAAAGGGAAGCGUUUGACACCAGUGUUGUUUUUCCGAAAAUCAAUUACGAAUGUUUUGUUUUUGAGAAGUUAUGACUUCAUCGGCUUGCUUCUUUCUUUAUGAAACUUUCUUAAUGCACUUUUCGGUUAACAAGUCAACAUCAAUUUCUUUUGUUGUAAAAGGGUAUGAGGAAGGUGGCUUUCUUUUCGGAGAAAGGGUUUAUAGCCUUGUACCUCUGCAAUCGGAGAGAUUGAGGUCUGCAGCGUAGAUCCUUCGGGGUUAGAUACAUUUGUGCUAAGUUAUAGCUUUUCAUAGACAACUUGUUGACUAUGUUUAGUCUUGUAGCUUACUCGCUUAUGCUAUUUUACCUACGCUUAGGAUGUUGACAAAAUGGUUUUAAACGACCCGUCUUGAAACACGGACC